rnacentral:lncRNA from 1 species
GGCCAAGACCAACUUCCCGUUCGCGUCGCAGUGCCCCGUCGCCGCCGGCGCCGGCAGCCCCAGCAGCAACAGCACCGUGGACUCGAGCGGAGGCGGCAGCGCCUGCGGCGUCCAGGCGCCUAUGCAGGCCAUGCCGCUGCCCCCGGCCCUCGAUCUCGAUCUCUUCCACCGGGCGGCGGCCGUGACCGCGGUCUCCUCCGGCGGCAUGCGGUUUCCGUUCAAGGGCUACCCUGUCGCGCGCCCGACGCCGCAUCCGUACUUCUUCUACGAACAGGCGGCAGCGGCCGCCGCCGCGGCGGCCGGCUACCGGAUGCUCAAGGUUGCCCCGCCGCCGG